UACGAAGGUGGCAAGCGUUGUUCGGAUUUACUGGGCGUACAGGGAGCGUAGGCGGUUGGAUAAGCCCUCCGUGAAAUCUCCAGGCUUAACCUGGAAAGUGCAGAGGGGACUGUUCAGCUAGAGGAUGGGAGAGGAGCGCGGAAUUCCCGGUGUAGCGGUGAAAUGCGUAGAGAUCGGGAGGAAGGCCGGUGGCGAAGGCGGCGCUCUGGAACAUUUCUGACGCUGAGGCACGAAGGCCAGGGGAGCAAACGGG
rnacentral:rRNA from 1 species